GUGUUGUAAGUGUUUAAGGGCGCAUGGUGGAUGCCUUGGCAUUGGGAGCCGAUGAAGGACGUGGGAGGCUGCGAUAUGCCUCGGGGAGCUGCCAACCGAGCGUGGAUCCGAGGAUGUCCGAAUGGGGAAACCCGGCACGAGUGAUGUCGUGUCACCCGGCACUGAAUACAUAGGUGUCGGGGGGGAACGCGGGGAAGUGAAACAUCUCAGUACCCGUAGGAAGAGAAAACAACAGUGAUUCCGUGAGUAGUGGCGAGCGAAAGCGGAGGAUGGCUAAACCGUGCACAUGUGAUACCCGGCAGGGGUUGUGUGUGUGGUGUUGUGGGGUGCGUCGAUCUCAGAUCUGCCGGUCUGGGCUGCAGUGAGAAAAGCUCGUGUUAGUCGAACUGGUUUGGGAUGGCCGACCGUAGAGGGUGAGAGUCCCGUAGGUGAAAACAUGUGCUCUGCAGUGAUGUGUCCCCGAGUAGCAGCGGGCCCGUGGAAUCUGCUGUGAAUCUGCCGGGACCACCCGGUAAGCCUGAAUACUUCCCAGUGACCGAUAGCGGAUGAGUACCGUGAGGGAAUGGUGAAAAGUACCCCGGGAGGGGAGUGAAAGAGUACCUGAAACCGUGUGCCUACAAUCCGUCAGAGCCUUCGUGUUAAAGCGUGGGGUGAUGGCGUGCCUUUUGAAGAAUGAGCCUGCGAGUCAGGGACAUGUCGCGAGGUUAACCCGGGUGGGGUAGCCGUAGCGAAAGCGAGUCUGAAUAGGGCGUAUCACGUCAGUAGUGGCGUGUGUAGUGGUGUGUUCUGGACCCGAAGCGGAGUGAUCUACCCAUGGCCAGGGUGAAGCGACGGUAAGACGUCGUGGAGGCCCGAACCCACUUAGGUUGAAGACUGAGGGGAUGAGCUGUGGGUAGGGGUGAAAGGCCAAUCAAACUCCGUGAUAGCUGGUUCUCCCCGAAAUGCAUUUAGGUGCAGCGUUGCAUGCUUCUUGUUGGAGGUAGAGCUACUGGAUGGCCGAUGGGCCUCACAAGGUUACUGACGUCAGCCAAACUCCGAAUGCCGACAAGUGAGAGUGUGGCAGUGAGACGGCGGGGGAUAAGCUCCGUGCGUCGAGAGGGAAACAGCCCAGAUCGCCGGCUAAGGCCCCUAAGCGUGUGCUAAGUGGAAAAGGAUGUGCAGUCGCGAAGACAACCAGGAGGUUGGCUUAGAAGCAGCCACCCUUGAAAGAGUGCGUAAUAGCUCACUGGUCAAGUGAUUGUGCGCCGAUAAUGUAGCGGGGCUCAAGCACACCGCCGAAGCCGCGGCAAUCAGAUAGUUGUCUGGUUGGGUAGGGGAGCGUCCUGCAUCCGGUGAAGCAGCCUAGUGAUGGAGCUGUGGAGGGUGUGGGAGUGAGAAUGCAGGCAUGAGUAGCGAUAAGGCAAGUGAGAACCUUGCCCGCCGAAAGACCAAGGGUUCCUGGGCCAGGCCAGUCCGCCCAGGGUGAGUCGGGACCUAAGGCGAGGCCGACAGGCGUAGUCGAUGGACAACGGGUUGAUAUUCCCGUACCCGUGUGUGAGCGUCCCUGAUGAAUCAGCGGUACUCACCGCCCAAAACCGCUGUCACCGGCACCUUCGGGUGCGCGGGUCUGCGGGGCUGCGCGGGACCUUCGUUGGUAGUAGUCAAGCGAUGGGGUGACGCAGGAAGGUAGCCGUACCAGUCAGUGGUUGUACUGGGGUAAGCCUGUAGGGAGAGGCCCAGGUAAAUCCGGGUUUCACAUGUCCUGAGAGGUGAUGCAUAGCCGAUUGAGGCGAAUUCGGUGAUCCUAUGCUGCCAAGAAAAGCCUCUAGCGAGUGCGCACACGGCCCGUACCCCAAACCGACACAGGUGGUCAGGUAGAGAAUACCAAGGCGUACGAGUGAACUAUGGUUAAGGAACUCGGCAAAAUGCCCCCGUAACUUCGGGAGAAGGGGGACCCACAUGGCGUGACAGGCCUUCGCGGUCUGGAGCGUGAGUGGGUGGCACAAACCAGUGAGAAGCGACUGUUUACUAAAAACACAGGUCCGUGCGAAGUCGCAAGACGAUGUAUACGGACUGACGCCUGCCCGGUGCUGGAAGGUUAAGAGGACCGGUUAACCCUUCGGGGUGAAGCUGAGAAUUUAAGCCCCAGUAAACGGCGGUGGUAACUAUAACCAUCCUAAGGUAGCGAAAUUCCUUGUCGGGUAAGUUCCGACCUGCACGAAUGGCGUAACGACUUCUCAACUGUCUCAACCAUAGACUCGGCGAAAUUGCAUUACGAGUAAAGAUGCUCGUUACGCGCGGCAGGACGAAAAGACCCCGGGACCUUCACUACAACUUGGUAUUGGAGUUCGGUUCGGUUUGUGUAGGAUAGGUGGGAGACUGUGAAGCAGCCACGCCAGUGGUUGUGGAGUCGUUGUUGAAAUACCACUCUGAUCGUAUUGGGCUUCUAACUUCGAACCGUAUAUCCGGUUCAGGGACAGUGCCUGGUGGGUAGUUUAACUGGGGCGGUUGCCUCCUAAAAUGUAACGGAGGCGCCCAAAGGUUCCCUCAACCUGGACGGCAAUCAGGUGUUGAGUGUAAGUGCACAAGGGAGCUUGACUGCGAGACGUACAUGUCGAGCAGGGACGAAAGUCGGGACUAGUGAUCCGGCACCUCUGAGUGGAAGGGGUGUCGCUCAACGGAUAAAAGGUACCCCGGGGAUAACAGGCUGAUCUUCCCCAAGAGUCCAUAUCGACGGGAUGGUUUGGCACCUCGAUGUCGGCUCGUCGCAUCCUGGGGCUGGAGCAGGUCCCAAGGGUUGGGCUGUUCGCCCAUUAAAGCGGCACGCGAGCUGGGUUUAGAACGUCGUGAGACAGUUCGGUCUCUAUCCGCCGCGCGCGUCAGAAGCUUGAGGAAAUCUGUCCCUAGUACGAGAGGACCGGGACGGACGAACCUCUGGUACACCAGUUGUCCCACCAGGGGCACCGCUGGAUAGCCACGUUCGGACAGGAUAACCGCUGAAAGCAUCUAAGCGGGAAACCCCCUCCAAGACCAGGCUUCUCACCCAUCAAGUGGGAUAAGGCCCCCCGCAGACCACGGGAUCGAUAGACCAGACCUACAAGCACAGCAAUGUGUGCAGGGAACUGGCACUAACCGGCCGAAAACUUACACACAC
rnacentral:rRNA from 2 species